CGGAGGUGGUUGCGGGCGCGCGCGGGGGCGGGGAAGCAGCUGCACGGGGGACGGCCGGCGAGCGCAAGCGGCGGGGGAGGAGCAGCGUGUAGGCGGCGUGCAGCGGAGCGGCGCGCGGGCGGGCGGCGGCGGCAGGGGAAGCAGCAGCCCGGGCGGUGCCGCUCCACUGCCUUCUCCAUCCUUCUCCGCCGGCAGGGAGAACAGCUCGCCGCCGCCGGCGAGUUCGAGGACGAAGUCGACCGCUACUGGCCGCCCUCCCCAGACAAGAGGGAGAGAGGAGGAGGAAGGGAGCAGCGAUCCUGCUCCUCGUCACCGUCAGGCUCCCUGCUGGCGUCAUGCAGGGGCAAGAGGAGGGCCGCCCCGGAAGAGUCGCUGUCGGGGAGCGCCAAGGCGAUUAUCGCGGCCGCAUCAAUGUUCGAUAUGAUGGACGACGAGGUGGCGUCGACGACAGCGUGGGGGCGCGGCAAAACUGACGCGGCUGAGGCGGCGUCGGAGCUGGAGCUCAAGAUCAUGUGCUCCUGGUUCUACAGUAGCGGCUUCUAG
rnacentral:lncRNA from 1 species